CAGAAGUUACAGUGGAAUGGAUCUAACAAGUGGGUGGGGCCAUGUAGGUACGUGCAUGUCUUUUUGUUUGGGGAAGGAUACAGACAUGCCAGCCAGAUGUCCGAGCAAACGGUAUACGGGGGGAGGAUUGGAAGAAUGAGACUAGCUAGCUAUAGAGGUGUGGAAGAUAGGAGAUGAUGUUGCCGGGUAUGUGAGGACAGUGAAGUUGGUUCAGUUAGAGAGAGAGAGAGCAAUCAAGUGGGCCACCAUGGUCAGUCAGUGGGACAGAUACAACCACUCAUCAACACUGCACAGAAGGGUCAACAAAGAACAAGUAUCAUGUGAAUGCCUCAGAGUACAGUGCUGCUUGGUUUGUGAAGCUCUAUCUAGACGCUCUUCCGUUCCAGUUGGUCCUGCGUAUAUGGGAUGCCCUAUUCUUCCAGGGAGAGAGUGUCCUCGCUGUCAUGUCCCUAGUGGUACUCAAGAUGAACACUAGGCAGUUUCUUCGCGAGAGAGAGGAUGGUAUUCGUAUCUCUCUCCAGGAGCUAUCUCGUCAGUCCUUCAACGAAGAUGAGGUUAUCGCUGAGCUACAGAGUGUGACUGCCGACCUCAGCAAGUCUCGACAAGCCAUCCCACAAGUGGUGGAGCUGCUGGAACUGUCAGAGCUCAACAGACAAGCGUUGGAGAGAGCUGCUUUGAACUCUGCCUCUAGUGGAACUCAUGAUAGCUUAGUGGUGACUGGAGCUAGUCCUGAUUCUAGUGCAGAGUCGUGGGUGUGAGCCCACCCCCUCAAUCUUGUCUGUUUCUAUGGUUACACUGAUUGUUUGUAUGUCACCACACCAACUGUAUACAAGUGUGCUUCACUGUUACUGUAUGUUGUCUUGUGUAUAUAAUGUAUAUCAGAAACAAUA